AUUGAACGCUAGCGGCAUGCCUUACACAUGCAAGUCGAACGGCAGCACGGGGGCAACCCUGGUGGCGAGUGGCGAACGGGUGAGUAAUGCAUCGGAACGUGCCCAUCGAUGGGGGAUAACUGCGCGAAAGCGUUGCUAAUACCGCGUACGACCUACGGGUGAAAGCAGGGGACCGCAAGGCCUUGCGUCGAUGGAGCGGCCGAUGCCGGAUUAGCUAGUUGGUGAGGUAAAGGCUCACCAAGGCGACGAUCCGUAGCUGGUCUGAGAGGACGACCCAGCCACACUGGGACUGAGACACGGCCCAGACUCCUACGGGAGGCAGCAGUGGGGAAUCUUGGACAAUGGGCGAAAGCCUGAUCCAGCAAUGCCGCGUGUGGGAAGAAGGCCUUCGGGUUGUAAACCACUUUUGGCGGGAAAGAAAUGGUCUGUGCUAAUACCACGGAUUGAUGACGGUACCCGCAGAAUAAGCACCGGCUAACUACGUG
rnacentral:rRNA from 1 species